GAGUAUGGCAGCUCUUUUAGAAUUUGUCUAGCAGGCUUUCUGGUCCUCACCAGAAGACCCAA
ensembl:snRNA U7 U7 small nuclear RNA